rnacentral:misc_RNA from 1 species
UCUUAAAGACACUAACUGCGGAUAGG